rnacentral:sRNA from 1 species
CUAGGCUUCUCAGCUGGGGCUUCUUCACCCUCAUUUUUGUCCGACUGGCUGGACUGAAGAACUUGGCAGAAGCCUUGGGGCUAGGGAAUGCUGAAAUACUUUUAAAGCUGAUAAACCUAGGGAAACUGCCUCCUGACGCCAAGCCCCCUGUCAACCUGCUUGACAACCCAACCUCCAUCUACAACGCCUGGCUCAAUGGCCUUCCCCAGCACAUCAAAAGCAUGGUUCUCCGCGAGGUGACUGAGUGCAACAUAGAGACUCAGUUUCUUAAGGCUAGCGAGGGCCCAAAGUUUGCAUUCCUGUCCUUUGUUGAAGCCAUGUCCUUCCUUCCUCCGUCUGUCUUCUGGUCUUUUAUCUUCUUCCUGAUGUUGCUGGCCAUGGGGCUGAGCAGCGCAAUAGGGAUUUUGCAGGGCAUCAUUACUCCACUCCAGGACACCUUCUCUUUCUUCAGGAAACAUACAAAGCUGCUCAUAGUGGGAGUCUUUUUGCUCAUGUUCGUGUGCGGCCUCUUCUUCACUCGACCUUCAGGCAGCCACUUCAUCAGGCUGCUGAGUGAAUGCUGGAUAGUCUUCCCCAUCAUCGUCAUUGUCGUAUUUGAAACCAUGGCUGUGUCCUGGGCCUAUGGGGCCAGGAGGUGAUGUCCUAAACCCAGGUUCUCACAAAGCAUGGGACUAUAGGGAAGGGUGACCCCUUUCUUGUUGCCUCUA